GCCAGGCGCAGUGGCGCAUGCUUAUAAUCCCAGCAGCUUGGGAGGCUGAGGCAGGAGGAUUGGAGAGUUCAAAGCCAACCUCAGCAAAAGCGAGGCACUAAGCAACUCAAUGAGACCCUGUCUCUA
rnacentral:sRNA from 1 species